UACAGAGGUCUCAAGCGUUGUUCGGAUUCAUUGGGCGUAAAGGGUGCGUAGGUGGCGCCGUAAGUCAGGUGUGAAAUCUCGGGGCUUAACUCCGAAACUGCAUUUGAUACUGCGGUGCUUGAGGACUGGAGAGGAGACUGGAAUUUACGGUGUAGCAGUGAAAUGCGUAGAGAUCGUAAGGAAGACCAGUGGCGAAGGCGGGUCUCUGGACAGUUCCUGACACUGAGGCACGAAGGCCAGGGAGCAAACGGG
rnacentral:rRNA from 1 species